CAGGAGGCAGCUCCAAGGCAAAGGGCAAGAGAUGUGCAGCAGCGUGGGGAGGAGCAGCUGAAGUGCGGGCAAACCCGUCAGGAUCCCCCGUCAGAGGCUCUAAGAUCUACUGAUAGAUCCUGAUCUACUAGUUGAUAUUUUGACCUGGAUCAGGAAGUAAAUGGAAGUCAGUGGAACUGUUUGCCGGUAGGACUUCUGAUAAUGCUUUACAUGUCUGGAGAUGGGCAAUGGAAUUCUGCAUAUGCUGGAAUGUGGAAGGCCCCAAGGAGACAACAGGGAAGGGAGUUGUCUCAGUACAGAGAGACAUGAGGACACAGGAGAGCUGAGAGACUCCCGUACACAUACAUUUGUGCUUGACAGUAUUUAUAUUCUCUAGAGAAUGCUAAUAUCUGGGCACAGCUGGGUGUUGGUAUUAACCCUGCUUGAUACAUAGGGAAACAUCACUUUGGGAGCACCAAAAUGUGCAAGGUGCUUCACAGAGCAAGAAGAAUACCUUUGAGGAGCAUGCACUCUAAAUAUUAUGGGGACAGGAGUCACUGAUGGGUUGUGCUAACACUUGGCAGCUCUCCAGACCAACUCUGCUUCUUUGACCAGCUCAGCAGUUCUUACUGAAGUUACUUUCUCAUUUAAAGAGAAAAAAAAAAGGAUGAAAUCUCUAGCCCUUCUGGUAGAGAAGAGCUUCUUACUGCGGUUCAAUACAGUGCUGUCUCACCAACCCUACAGCCGGAUAGCCUGAAACAAUGGUUCUAGAAAAGAGGUGGGAACUGAGGUUAUUGAUUUUACCAGUUGUUCACUCUGAUGCCUAACGAUAGUGUGGGCUUUGUUCAGUAUUUUAUUGCUGAGUAAGUUACCUGACAUUUGUGAUUGUUCUCAGCUUGUGAAUAAUGCAUGAGUACAAUAUCAACUCACUUCUGCUUCCCCCGUCCAGCUCCUGACCAGAGUGAGAGAUUAGGUGGAGGUCAGUGUUACUGAGCCUGAGCAAGGUCAUUUGAGCAAUAAACUUCUGUGUGCAAAGGUUUGGUUCUGCUGUGAAAUGCUGCAGUAAUUUGGUUUGUAGUGCUCUCCCAGCCUGAUUUGAGAAGAUUCAUCAGAGGAUUUCAGCAAUAACCAGAAACUGCUAGAAACCAACUACAUGUCUAGAGUUUAAGCAACCAGUCCCAACCCUUGGCAGGUGAGCCUUGAUAUUAAUCAGGUUACCUGAAUCAUUAUAAACAAUCUGAGAUUGUACAACAUGACCGCAAAAGGAACUGUAACAACAUUGAGCUUAUGACUCUUUUUCCAUCUUUGUGAUCCACAACGAAGUGUUGAGGGACUUAAAGAAAAGAGUUACAAAGGCUCCUUGGACUCCCUCAAAGCAAAGGAGCUACUGGAAGAAUUUACUUCUAGGGGUGAGCAAUUCGUCUUGAUGAGGAACCACUUCAGGAUGUUGGUAAGUGCUCAAGAGUGGCACUUUUCUAUGAAGGACGGCGGUUGGGACAAGGUUUGAGGGCCUGGGGCAGGAGAGGGUGCAGAAGGGCGCUUGGGGUAGGGUAGUGGGGUGCAGGAGAGGAUAUGGGGUCUGAGAGGGAAUUUGGUUGACGAAAGGGAUUGUGACUAGUGUCCUCUGUAAACUGUGCUCGUGCGGCCACACAGGAGAGAUUCAAAUAGCUCCCAGCUAAUUAGCAGAGGGCCCUCAGGUAGAUUUUUGUUUCUGUUGGUGGUGUGCACUCACACAGGCCUCUGUGCACUAGAAAAAAUUAUUCUGCACAUGGCUGGAAAAGAUUAGAGGGAACAUCAGCAUUGGCCAGGGGCAGCGAAUUGGGAUGUAGGGUCUGAGGGGUGUUGGAGAGGAUUCUGGCCUAGGGGAGGGAUAUAGGAAGGGUGUUGUAAUGCGGGGCAGAACAGGAGAGGGGGUGCAGGUGGGUUGGGUGGUGAGCUGGGGGAGGGUCUGGAGGGGCAGAUUAAGGCUCUGGCUGGGAGGCGCUUACCUAGGCA